rnacentral:rRNA from 1 species
GAUGAACGCUGGCGGCGUGCCUAAUACAUGCAAGUCGAGCGAACAGACGAGGAGCUUGCUCCUCUGACGUUAGCGGCGGACGGGUGAGUAACACGUGGAUAACCUACCUAUAAGACUGGGAUAACUUCGGGAAGCCGGAGCUAAUACCGGAUAAUAUAUUGAACCGCAUGGUUCAAUAGUGAAAGACGGUUUUGCUGUCACUUAUAGAUGGAUCCGCGCCGCAUUAGCUAGUUGGUAAGGUAACGGCUUACCAAGGCAACGAUGCGUAGCCGACCUGAGUGGGUGAUCGGCCACACUGGAACUGAGACACGGUCCAGACUCCUACGGGAGGCAGCAGUAGGGAAUCUUCCGCAAUGGGCGAAAGCCUGACGGAGCAACGCCGCGUGAGUGAUGAAGGUCUUCGGAUCGUAAAACUCUGUUAUUAGGGAAGAACAAAUGUGUAAGUAACUAUGCACGUCUUGACGGUACCUAAUCAGAAAGCCACGGCUAACUACGUG